ACCCAUGAUGUGGAAAAAGUCUCAUCAUAUCCUUGUAUCUUUCCCAUGCUUCAAAAAGUUAUUCUCUAUCUUUUUGUUUGAAUCUGUUGAUUUGACUUCUUAGCAU